GUAGGUGGCAAGCGUUGUCCGGAAUUAUUGGGCGUAAAGCGCGCGCAGGUGGUUCUUUAAGUCUGAUGUGAAAGCCCCCGGCUCAACCGGGGAGGGUCAUUGGAAACUGGGGAACUUGAGUGCAGGAGAGGAAAGUGGAAUUCCACGUGUAGCGGUGAAAUGCGUAGAUAUGUGGAGGAACACCAGUGGCGAAGGCGACUUUCUGGCCUGUAACUGACACUGAGGCGCGAAAGCGCGGGGAGCAAACAGGGAUUAGAUACCCUGGUAGUCCACGCCGUAAACGAUGAGUGCUAAGUGUUGGGGGGGUUUCCGCCCCCUCAGUGCUGCAGCUAACGCAUUAAGCACUCCGCCUGGGAGUACGGUCGCAAGACUG
rnacentral:rRNA from 1 species